AAGGUUACACUGUCUCCUUUUUCUAAUCAGUAAAACUAAUCUUCCCGUGAAGAAGCGGGGAUCCUUAUAUAAGACGAGAAGACCCUAUGGAGCUUUAAACGAAAUAACAUCUACCAACUCAACCAACAAUUUCAGAAAAUUAACACUAAACUUGGUAUAAUGAUUACUAGUUUUAGGUUGGGGUGACCGCGGAGCAAAAAACAACCUCCGCAUUGAAUGGACCUACAUUCCUAAACAAAAAACCACAACUUUAUGUAUCAACAUAUUGACAUCCAUUGACCCAUUAAUUUGAUCAACGAACCAAGUUACCCUAGGGAUAACAGCGCAAUCCAUUUCAAGAGCCCCUAUCGACAAAUGG
rnacentral:rRNA from 1 species